GACGAACGCUGGCGGCGUGCUUAACACAUGCAAGUCGAACGGAGUGGCGAACGGGUGAGUAACACGUGGGUGACCUUCCCUGCACGUCGGGAUAAGCUUGGGGAACUGGGUCUAAUACCGGAUAGUGUGGGAUGGGCCCGCGGCCUAUCGGCUUUUUGGGGGGGUAAUGGCCGUCCAAGGGGGCGACGGGUAGCCGGCCUUGGAGGGGGGACGGCCCCAUUGGGACUGAGGCACGGCCCAGACUCGUACGGGAGGCAGCAGUGGGGAAUAUUGCACAAUGGGCGGAAGCCUGAUGCAGCGACGCCGGGUGGGGGAUGACGGCCUUCGGGUUGGAAACUCGUUUCAGCAUCGACGCGGUAGAUGGAGAAGAAGCACCGGCUAACUACGUGCCAGCCGCCGCGGUAAUUC
rnacentral:rRNA from 1 species